rnacentral:rRNA from 1 species
AGUGAACGCUGGCGGUAGGCCUAACACAUGCAAGUCGAACGGCAGCACAGUAAGAGCUUGCUCUUACGGGUGGCGAGUGGCGGACGGGUGAGGAAUACAUCGGAAUCUACUUUUUCGUGGGGGAUAACGUAGGGAAACUUACGCUAAUACCGCAUACGACCUACGGGUGAAAGCAGGGGAUCUUCUGACCUUGCGCGAUUGAAUGAGCCGAUGUCGGAUUAGCUAGUUGGCGGGGUAAAGGCCCACCAAGGCGACGAUCCGUAGCUGGUCUGAGAGGAUGAUCAGCCACACUGGAACUGAGACACGGUCCAGACUCCUACGGGAGGCAGCAGUGGGGAAUAUUGGACAAUGGGCGCAAGCCUGAUCCAGCCAUACCGCGUGGGUGAAGAAGGCCUUCGGGUUGUAAAGCCCUUUUGUUGGGAGAGAAAAGCAGCAGGUUAAUACCCCGCUGUUCUGACGGUACCCAAAGAAUAAGCACCGGCUAACUUCGUG